rnacentral:sRNA from 1 species
GCUGGGCACAGUGGUGCAUGCCUGUAACCCCAGCAGCUUGGGAGGCUGAGACAGGAGGAUCAUGAGUUCAAAGCCAGCCUCAGCAACACCAUGGCGCUAAGCAACUCAGUGAGACCCUAUCUCUA